AACAACUAAUAACCUGGUAAGUAGGCUAAGUGGGCAGCAGGGAGCUUUAGGAAUGUUAAUUGUGGACUCAUUGAUGGAGGAUGAGGAAGAAAUUGAGCUCUGGUGAGAUGGUGGCAGUUUUCUGAGAUUUUCUCAAAAAGCGUGGAGUAUAGAGUUUCAUCAGGAAACAGAAGUGGUUGUCUGCCGGUAAAUGGCUUGGCUGUGGAAUGACUUUUACUCAGAAAAAAAAAAAUGAGGAAGGAAGAGAUGAAGGAGAAUGGAGGGAGGAGACUGGGUGGUGAACAUGGUGGCAUAUGGAUUCAUGCUGUAUUCCCUGCCCUUUAUAGGAGGUGCUGGAAGGAUGUCGUGAUCCAGGCAGGCCUGGCUUACAGAAGAAGAUGCAGUGUCAAUGAAAAAAAAAAAAAAACUUGUGUGUUUUAUUAUUAUUAUGGAAUAUUACCUUCAGUAAAAUGUGUCAUCAUGAAAUGAAAAGUUAUAAAGAAAAAAAAACAAGUUGUUCAAUAUUUAGAAAGAUUUUAACACUGCUGAUUAAAAUCCAGAAUAAGUCAAAGCAUUACAUUUCACAAUUCACAAAUGUUGCAAAACUCAUUGGAAAUGUUUUAUUUUUUUCAUUUGCCAGAUUUCUCACCUUUUGAGAGAGGACCAAAUAUAAUUUCUGACACCGUACAUGAAUCCAGAAGACAGAAUCAGAUAUCCUGGAAAUGGAAGUACAGGCUAUACUGAGUGACCUGACAUGGGACCCAAAUUGAUCCACUUCAAAGGCAGUAUAUACUUUUAACCACUCACUCAUCUCUCCAGAUUCAAUUUUCAGGAUACUUUGGGAGACGGAGUUUCAACCUUCUCUGGUAGUCUUUAGCCACCUUAAAUGCACCAAAAGAUGAAUACACUCUGAAUGAUAAUGCCCUAUGUCUCAGUUUGAUUUCCUGUUGCCUGGAUGAUGUAGAACUUUCCAGUACCACAUCUGCCUGCAUGCCACCAUGCUCUGCUUCAUGAUGAUAAUGAACUGAACCCCUGAAACCCUUCCAUUUCAUAUCUAGAGGACCUGUCAAAUCUAGAAGAACCUGCAGAAUUCCCAGUCUUUUGGAUCUCACAGUCAUUUUUUCUAACUCUUCUUUGUAUUUCUCUGAACUCUGGAUGUUCAAGUUGCAUUGUAACAUUGAACAACCGAAGACAACUGCAUCACAGCCAUUUAUUCUCUACAUUUUGAGCAGAACCUUCAUCUGGCGAUGGAUGGAGAUAGAGACAGAGACCCACGUUGGAACAUUGGGUCCAGCUCUUAUAUACAAGGCUGGCCUUGAACUCUCAGAGAUUCACCUGCCUUCUGAGUUCUGGGAUUGAAGGCAUGUGCCAACACCGCCCAGCUGAAUAAAGGAUGUUUGAAUACAUUCUCCUUACUUCUCCUCUCCCUCACCACCCUGCCACUCAUCUAUUUUUCAUCUUUGAUGUUAUAUAUGUCCAUUUUACAAACCCCGUCCUUCCUUCCGCAUCACUUAUUUUACCCUAUCUUGGUUUCUACUUUAAAUUUUUAGGUUUUACUGACAUUAGAUGCAUGCAUACAGAUCUACAUACAUGGGCAUAUAAAUUUCAUGAAAGCAUCCAUCUAUGAGUGAGAACAUGUGACUUUUGACAUUUUUUUCAAAUCUGUGUCACUUCACUUAUUAGUAUACACUCUAUAUCUAUCCAUUUCACUCAAAACUUAA